rnacentral:rRNA from 1 species
AGCGAACGCUGGCGGCAGGCCUAACACAUGCAAGUCGAGCGCCCAGCAAUGGGAGCGGCAGACGGGAGAGUAACACGUGGGAACGUACCUUUCAGUUCGGAACAACCCAGGGAAACUUGGGCUAAUACCGAAUACGCCCGUAAGGGGAAAGAUUUAUCGCUGAAAGAUCGGCCCGCGUCUGAUUAGCUAGUUGGUGAGGUAAUGGCUCACCAAGGCGACGAUCAGUAGCUGGCUGAGAGGAUGAUCAGCCUCAUUGGGACUGAGACACGGCCCAAACUCCUACGGGAGGCAGCAGUGGGGAAUAUUGGACAAUGGGCGCAAGCCUGAUCCAGCAAUGCCGCGUGAGUGAAGAAGGUCUUCGGAUUGUAAAGCUCUUUCGACGGGGACGAUGAUGACGGUACCCGUAGAAGAAGCCCCGGCUAACUUCGUGCCAGCCGCCGCUGUAAG